rnacentral:lncRNA from 1 species
CAAUAUUAUACUGUUGCAUAGUCUAUAGAAUAACAUGAAGGAGAAAGUAAAGUUGAAAGCCUUUGCAUGAAAGAGAAGUGUAAAGGGGGGCAUCUGCACGAAAGAACGUGAAAAAAAAAAUUGCCAUUUCAUGAUGAAUGAACAAUUAAACAAGAUGUGUUCAAAGUACAUGGAUGCCCCAUCAGCACUAUCAUUUUCUAUGUUGAAUGGACCGUGAAAAAAUCUCUAAUUUGCCAUAAAAAUCAGAAAGAUUAUAUCAUAGGGAACAUGUGUACUAAGUUUCAAGUAGAUUGGAC